UACGAAGGGGGCUAGCGUUGCUCGGAAUCACUGGGCGUAAAGCGCACGUAGGCGGGUCUUUAAGUCAGGGGUGAAAUCCUGGAGCUCAACUCCAGAACUGCCUUUGAUACUGAGGAUCUCGAGUCCGGGAGAGGUGAGUGGAACUCCGAGUGUAGAGGUGAAAUUCGUAGAUAUUGGGAAGAACACCAGUGGCGAAGGCGGCUCACUGGCCCGUAACUGACGCUGAGGUGCGAAAGCGUGGGGAGCAAACAGG
rnacentral:rRNA from 1 species